UCUAUGGUUGGGCAUAGACGUAUGAUAGACGUCAAAUAAUUUAUUAAUAUUGCAGGCAUUCCAUUUACUAAACUAAUUAAUUAUUAUAUUAUUUUCGCUUUCGUAGUGAUUUUCCCAAGAAUGAAUAAGUAUGAAUCAUUAGAUCAAUACUGUUAAACAAGAGAUACAGUGAUUUGACCAUUUGUACAUCAGAAAAUGGCUCUUCCCUCAAAUUAUAAACAAGCAGCAGUGUCAAUGUCUGGACCUCAAACUCCAAAUCGUUCCCCAAUGACCUUCAACAUACUCAAAGAAAGACUUCGUGCCUCAGGAGGAUCUAGUAC
rnacentral:lncRNA from 1 species